CCUCACAAAACUCCUGCAUUCUACUGUUGUUUCCUCUGGUAGCUCUUGAUGCAGCAAUCCUGGUCUGUAGGAAUGCUCUGUGGUCCUUAAGGACACACAAUAAUAGACACCCAUCCACGUGAGUAAAACCUUGCUAUCAGCUAAGAAGUGAUGCUGUUUUGGGUUUUACCUUUUUUGCCUUUUAUAUAUUCUCUGUAUUCUUUACACAUAUAUUUGUAGCCUAUUGUAUUAGUGGCUAGUUUGGAUUUUUUUUUUCCCCAGUAAUUUUCCAUGGCCUUUCCCUAGGCAGAAAGACAAAACAAAUUGCAGAACUCCAAGCCCCAGAGGGUAUGUGAACCCUAUCUUCUGCUGGUUCUUCUGAUGCCAAGGUUGGGGAAAACUCCUGGAGCUUCAUUUCAUGGACAAAGUACAGCUAAUACUGAAGGGGAGAAAACUUAGAAAGGGAUUGACUCUGAAGAAAAAUUCCAUCACCACUUGUCCUCCUAAUUGGUGCUCUUUUGUUAAUUAUGCUAAUUUACUAGACUUCUAAAAGCUACAUGUUCACUCCAUGUUGGGAUAAAAGGCAACAGAAGAAAGGACUGCCUGUUUGCCUUGGCAAGGAGAGUGUGGAGGGAAGAAGGGAAUAACAAAAACAAUGUCAAUAACUAAACAUGCCAAUUCAUAGAGUGUGUGAGGGAAGGUCUCUGGGGUCACACAUCAUUAGAAGAUGUAGCUAAAUAACCUGGUAAGGCAUUGCAGCAGCAGGGAGCUUCUCCAGGAGACCACAUCGCUCCAACAGGAAGGAGGAAAAAACCAAGGUGUUGCUGACAAAUGCUAUUUCUUGUGCUGUUCUGGAGUUGAAACCAAGUGGAAAGCAAGUGAUGUAUAAGCUCUUCUGCCACCCAUUCCAGCUUCUCAUUUUAACCUCAGUUGAAGAGGAUAAACUCCUCAUGACCGCAAGAUGACACCAAUCAGAGUGAGGAAAAGAUGAGAAAUACUUUAGAUUCUGUGUCUGAAACAAUUGCUCAGUGAGUCAAGACUCAAACGUAAUGGGGAAGGAAGAAUUGCAAGAAGGAAAGAUUUACACAGACACAGUUAAGGAUAAAGCUGAGCAGAACUGCACGGUUUUGAUUCCCAGGAAUUUCCUCCAAACUGUAAUUUGACUUUGACUUUGUGAGAAGACAUACCUGCUGACUCUAAUAUUUGAUGAAAGUCAAAGCAAAAGUACUAAACUUCAAGGUGCAUGGUGGCAAAACUAAGGGUCUGAAAUGUGACCUGAACAUCCUCUGUCUUUGGAGGAGAAAGGAGGGAAAAUGAAACUUUUUUGCUGAUCUCUGGAGUACUACGCCCAGCUCUUCAGCUCUUGGCACUUACACUGCUGCCUGGCUGGCUUAACACAUUACUGAUUCUCUUUUAUAGUCCUUUUGCAGAGUUGUGAGCGACUAAACAAGUCCCAGAGAAUGAUGUCCUAUAUCUUACUUGGAUAUUAAACAAUUGGAAAGAGUAAGGAGAAGAGCUGCUGUAACUACACAAGGACUGGAAAUACUGCCUUGCCAGCAGCAUGUUAAAAAUGAAAUACAAGCUCUUUAAACAGAUUAAAGAUUAUUUGAUUACAACGUGUAAACUCCUUGAAGAGGAAACUGAUAGAAGUGGUACCUGAAAUAAGAGAAAUGAGCAGCACAAUACCAGGGGCAGGAAGGUAAAUCCACACAUAUUUAUAUUAAAAAUAUAAACAAUCCCUUCCUCUUGGGAAUUAGAAUAGCAAGGAAAAAAAUGGGCCAGAGUGUUGGAGUCAAGCCUGCAUGUGGUUGGGCAUUCUAGCCUUCAGCCAAGCAGAAAUCAGUCCCACUUUAGGGACUGGAAACAUGCUAAAAGCUAGUUUGAAACCAAGAAAUCCUCAUUUCUCUUCCUGCUUUUGUGGAUCUUGUAGAUGUCUGGGUCAAGUAAUACAAGAGGUCACACCAGGUGGUUCUCUGUUGUCUUUGGGUCUUGAUAUUGGCUGCUUGGCAACCCUUGCUUCGUCCUGCCUCCAGCCCUGUUGUGAGGUUUUGGAGUACUCCUUACAUCUGGAAAUACCUGAAGGAAAUUUGAAGACCAGUGAUGGAAGUGGUCAGAAAAUGUCUUUCGUAAGGAGAUCUCUCUUCAAAGACAAGUUAUUUUGUAGGAAAAAAACACCCUUACUUCUGCAGAUAGUAUUUUUGAGUUUAAAUCAGGAAAUCCAAGCCCAAAUUAUUUAUUUCUGGGCUUGUUGGACCAGAAAAAAAAAAAAAAUCUCAGUUUGUUCUACUGGCCAGAAACUGUAAUGAGCUGGUUCAAUAUUAUUGUUUAGUUUGUUGUGGUGCGAUUCUCUGUGGUCCUAAUUCAUUCCCACCCCAACUUGUGGGGCUGAUGGAUUAUUUGUAUAUAAAACAGCCAGAUUUCUCUGGAAGCAAGAACUGUGGUGCAGUGUGGGAGUUCUCUGAUGUCUCAUGGAAGCGUCAUCCCUGCAGAGAGCACAGGGAAAAGAACAAGCAUGCCAAGGAAUAAUUAAUCAGGAGUGUCUGUGCUGUGGUGUUUAUGAUCAGCUGAGAUAUUAUUGAGGAAAAAAAAAAAAAAAGGCAAACCAAUUUUCCUUUUUUCCACUAUUAUCACCUUUACCUUUAUCUCCUCUAAGCUCUGUUUUACUUUUUUUAUCACUCAUGUUGAACACUGGUAAGCUUCUUCAGCCAACCUCAGGCACUCAUUUUCAGGAAAUUAACUUGGCAUUGUAACAGCUCUUAACAUCUGUGACUCUUGACUUGCAGAUAGUUGAAUAAAGGAGCUAGGCAGAGCUUUAAUUUAUUGCCAAUAAAUUUCUGAUUUUUUUUUUUCAACUAGGACUUAACAGUUUGAUUUUUCCUUAAUUAUAUACAGACUAUCUUGGGGAUGAAAAUAGCAUGAGGGAUAUAAUGUGCUUUGUACUACAACAUCUUCCAAACAGGCCAAAACAGAAUAUCCUAAUAUUUCCAGAACAAAAAAUUGUCCCUGCUGGUAUAAAGCUAUUUUGUUUCCCUUUUAGACUGGCACUGGUAAAGCUCUUGCUGUGAAAUUUGAAGUGGAUGUAAGUUUCUAGGAAUAUUUGCUGCAGAACAGAUGUGCUCUUCUUUACCCUCCUAGUGCCAGUUCAGCCUGAAAUUCACCUGUGUUUACAUCAGAGUAAAACAAAGUACCCCUGGGAGCAAAGCUACCAACCAAGCAUCUUCUUACAGAAUAGUGAUACUGUGAUGAAAACACUUUUGUUGCCAAGGAAGAGGUAAGGAAAACAAUAAAGAGCAUAGUGUAACCCCAUGGUCUACAGGUGAAAAAAUAGCAGGCACACAGAAAAACUGCAUUCAUCUGGACCUGCACCUAAUUUUUCAUUCCUAUAUGAUAUAUUAUAUAUAUUGAUAUUUAAUUUACAUUCCACAUAUUAUUCCUAGUCAUCCCUUUUUCUUCAUGGUCUUUCAGGUCUUUCCUAAUUUCAUUUGCAAUAACUAAGAAACUAUGUCAAAGCCUUUUAACAAGUAUGCAUCCUUCUGCAUUAUAAACUGCCUCUGGUUUGUUUGUUUGUUUGUUUUACAUAAUUUUAAUGUUAUUUCCACUCUUUUCAAUCUUCCUCCUAUUACCACAAUUUUCCAAUUUACAUCAAAAAGCAAAUACUGCAAUUGCUUUAUAACAGUUGAGAAUUUUUUGCACUGAGUUGCAUCUACCUUGCUUAGCAGUCAUAAUUAGACACAAACCGAAUUUAGUUUAGAUUCCUAAUUUCAGAUGCUCUCCUUUUUGCAAAAGAACUGAAAAAGACACAUCCUUUAGACCUGAAAAUUUUGAAUUUUUGUAUCUGGAUCAGCAUGUGGAAGAUGAAUUCCAUUCCAGCUUUUCCACUCAAAUUCCCACCUCUUACCUAAUAGUACCAUAUUUUCUUCCCCUUUUUAACUUUUUUUUUUGGAUCACAAUAAACAUGGUAGCUGCACUUUACUUGGAAUAUUAAUUUAGCAGAACACAAACCAAAAUGGAUACUUGGGAGGUAAUAGUGUAUAUGAGUUUUAAAAUUAUCAUAUACUAAAAUUGCUAAGCAACUCUCUUAAGAGUGACUGUUUGGGAAGUUCAGAACUGAAGGUUAAAUUGCAGCCUGAUUUUUCAAAUGUGAAAGCGAUGGCAGUUCCCAGUAGAUUUAAGUAAAUAUUUAAGUAUAUUUAAGAACGUAUUUAGGUUUAUAGAGUUCAAAUUUUCAGCCCGAAUUUGCAAAGUCUAAAAAGAAAGAUCCUAUGCUAGUGAUAAGCAUUUAAAAGUUCAAUGCUAAAGCAGUAUUAAACUGGCACACUUUGGUGUUCCUGAAAUUUAAUAGAUCAUUAUUAGGUAUUUUACAUGUAAAUCUUCCACAUCUGUCUCUUGAAUUAGGUCAACAGUACCCAUUUUAAAACUUCCCACUUAUGAGUUUGUGGAAAUGGACAAAUAGCCAGUGUUUGGAAAAUUUCAGAUGUAAGACUUCUUUCACUCCUUUUUCAAAUAAUUUAUAUUCUAGGUCUUCUGCACUGCUGCUGAUGUGUGCUGCUGAUGUGAGGGACCUCCAGGGAGUUCUGCAGUCUUUGGUUUGCUUUGUUUUGAUGCUGUGGGGGAAGAACCUUCAGCUUUGGUUUAGGCUUUGGUGUGCACUGUCCUGUUCCAUAACCAGAAGCAGAGAGAUACUGGUAUUUUGUCAUUUUCACCCUUUUUGCUUUCUUUACUGAUAAAGUUUGAAACUUAUUUAAUUCAUCACCUAAAAUAUUUUUUUUCUCUUUUUUAACAUAUUAUCAGGUAAUAAAUAUUUAUUCUCUGCAAUCAUUGCCAGUCCUAUGGUGAUCAGCUUAGUAUAAAACCCAAGAUAGAAAAGACAGUGUGUUUAUGAGGCAGCUGACUGGGGAUUUAGAAUUUUCCCUUUUCAGCUUAUAGAAAAUCGUGUAACCUGUGUGGGCCAUCCUUUUAGGUCAAUCUCAUGCAGACUAUUUUCUCUUUUUCUAUAUCAAUCCUAAAUUAAUACAGUAGGUGCUCUGCAGCCAGCAUGGUUUUGCAUUGAUCUUGGCCAGCUUGUUUACAGUGUUUUGGCAAGUUGCUGAUGUACUUCUCCCUGGGGAUAGAGCAGGGGUUAAUUGCUGUUAAACUCUCAGUGCCAAGUAAUGGUUCAGACUCUGUGCUACAUUAAAGAUGACACUAAUAAGGAAAGAGUGCACUGGAUUGCUCUGUGUUGAAAAUUGGACUUGUGGUGACAGAAACUUGGAGCAGAGCUGAUGUAAUAGGGAGGCCAUAAUGUAAUUAUAACUGCUGAACAUGUGUCAUACCAAGUUAAAUGAUACAUUAAUGAAUCAAAACAGGUGAUGGAGUGUUGCUCUUUCAGCAGAUAGAGGUGUUUUCAAGGUCAAAUUGUCAUUAAUCUAAUAAUCUGUAAACUGUAUAUGCUUCAAAUUAUAAGCAAAAUCAUCUUUAAUGGGUUUUUUAGUGCAUUACUUGUCCUGUACCAAAGGGGUGACAAAACCAGAAGAUGCUGUUCUCGGUGUAAUUUUGUUUAUCCCUCUGUUAUUAUAUUUCUGUUAUGCCUAAUACAAUAUCUGUGUACCUAACAUUUUUCAGUCAGGUGUGAGCUUUGGAUCCCUGGGCUCUGAGGAGGCAGCACCCAAGCCAAGAGGUGUGUAGACACAUGAGUACAGCAUGGAGAUAAAGUCAUAAUCAUUGCUGGGAGACUGAAUAUAGUCAGUGAGUGGCUUCAGGUCAGCCUGAGCCAUGCACAAAACCAGCUCACUCCUGCUCAGAGCAGAAGUAAGUGUGUGGUGGUACCGUGAGUUAUGUUUUUUUGUAAAUUCUCUCUGCCUAUUAUGAUUCUGCAGCAAAUGAAAACCAUCUCUCACCUCAGCUGGUUCCUGGUUCAAGUCCUCCUGUUCAUGGAUGAAGUUCCUGCUUUUUGAUUCUGGUAGGACCACUGUGUUCAGAAGGUAAACAAAAGCUUCUGUUCCAGAUCUUGUGAUAAUCCAGAACCAAACAUACAAAUGGUACUUGGCUGCUUGAACAUGACAGUGUCUAGCUCCACAGCAAGUCCUGAGUGCUUAAAGAAACCUAUCACCAUUUUUUGGUAGUUUUAUUAAUGAAACCCACAGCAGUUUUACAAGUAGCCUUGGUUGAGAAGUUGAAAUGAGACCCCCUCCAUGGAACAAGGAAUAUACCCAUUUUGAGCAAAGAAAUCCUUUUUUGAAUUUUUCAAUCCUGUGAUUCCUGCCGUGACUAAAAAAAAAAAAAAAAUCUGUUUAUUUCACAUUAGUCUUGCUUCUCAUAAGCUUCUCAUUUAUCCUCAUACUGUUAAAAAAUGAAGCAAAGAUUACUUUGAGAGGGUUUAGCUGAGUCCAUUUCUGAGUUUCUAUUAAAAAUGGGAUUUUAAUGCCUAAAUCAAAUUGGGUCUUUUGACAAUGUCAUAAUAUGUCAUACUUUGAUUUUUUAAAUUCUUUUUUUUCUUAAUAUGGCAAAUAAAUAUUAAAAAAAUGGAACUUUGCAACAGAUUCCUUGCUAAAUGGUUCUUCUGCAUUGUUUUUAUAUUUUAUUUUUCCAUAGAGGAUUGUGGGGUUGAUCUCUUUCUUUAAGAUGAUGUCACCUUAUUUUCCUUCUGUCCUGUUACUUCAGGGAGGCAGGUUUUUCUUUUGGGAAAGUCAAGUACCAGUAGGACUACAGGCCCUCAGGAGACCUGCUGGGAACCAGAUCCAUGCCAGCUCUAUUCAUCAGCACGUCCUCUCUUCCAGCUCUGCUUUAUGGUUAACGAUCUCCAGUAAGAUCAGCCCAUCCCAGGCACAACUUUGUGAAGAACACCUGAGGCAGGAUGAACUGUUCCCAUUCUCUUUCUAAAUCUUCCCUGUUCACCACCCUUUUUUUCUUCUUCUCUUCCUCUCUCUGUGUUUUGGUGCUAGUUAUGAUAAGGUGUGCAGCUCGGUGGCUUCUUUAUGUUGUCACUCUGAAUGGAUGAACAGAAGGGGAGUAGCGCUUGUGUUCAGCAGAUUAACUCUGAUUUCUUAAGUUGCUUCCAAGUACAUUCCACGGAAUCAUACCAUUAUGGAAUGGUUGGGUUGGAAGAGACCUUAAAGAUCACCCAGUUCCAACCCCCUUUCCACCAGCUCGGGUUGCUCAGAGUUCCAUCUAAUCUGGCCUUGAGCACUUCCAGGAAUGAAGCAUCCACAACUUCUCCAGGAAGCUUUUUCCAGCCUCACAA